rnacentral:lncRNA from 1 species
CUCCGGGGUGGCACACACACCCUGGUGGCUGUGGGCAGGAGACGGCAGUUUCUUGCCACACGGACCUCUCCAUUCGGCUGCUUGCGUGUCCUCACAACAUGGCCACGGGCUGAGUGAUCAAGGAGGAGGCCGCGAUGUCUUCUGGGACCCAGAAGUCACCCUUCCUCAUCUCUGCAGCCUUGUAUUGGUAACAGCAGUCAGCUUUCCCGAGGUGAGCGGGGAUUCCGUCCAGCAGGGAUACCAGCAGAUGAGAAUCAUCGGGGGGCACAGGGGACAUCUGGAAGGCUGGCGACCAUGGCUUCUUUCCAGGUCUUGCAGAAGAGGCUGCAGCCCCAGCAGCACACAACUUCCCCGUGCCAUGCCCAUCGCCCACCUGAUGAUCGUGACUCCGACCAGCCAGGCCGAGCCAGACAGCUUUGCCUCUGCAUCUGGGAAUGGCUUUGCCAUGGGACGGAGGUGCCCCAGUGAACACACUCCUGGAAUUCCAAACCUGGAUACUACUGUGGCUUCACCCAGAUGUACGGAGUCAUUUACCCACAGGAGAGGAUGGGAAAAGCAUUAGGUCCACUGCCAAGAAGGCAGGAAUGAGUAAUAAGGAGCACCGAGGUGAUUUUCC